AUUGAACGCUAGCGGGAUGCUUUACACAUGCAAGUCGAACGAGUGGCGGACGUGUGAGUAAUAUAUCGGAACGUUCCCAGUAGCUGGGGAUACCUACUCGAAAGAGUUGCUCAUACCGCCUACUAUUGGCGCGGCCGAUAUCGGAUUAGCUAGUGGGGGGGGUAAAGGCUCACCAAGGACACGAUCCGUAGCUGGUUUGAGAGGACGACCAGCCACACUGGGACUGAGACACGGCCCAGACUCCUACGGGAGGCAGCAGUGGGGAAUGUUGGACAAUGGGGGAAACCCUGAUCCAGCCAUCCCGCGUGUAUGAGAAGGCCUUCGGGUUGUAAAGUACUUUUGGCAGAGAAGCGGUAUCUGCAGAAUAAGCACCGGCUAACUACGUGCCAGCCGCCGCGGUAAUAC
rnacentral:rRNA from 1 species